rnacentral:lncRNA from 1 species
UUUAAACAUGAUCACUUGCAGGUUUUAAUUGAAAUUGGUCAAACAUGGAUCCAAGUAUCAUGAAGAAAAGAAUGCCAAAGUAAGUGUCACCCUCAAUUCAAAUUUCAAACACAAAUCAUUACGUUUCCACAUUCAAUUACUGAAUGGUACAAACACCAAUUUGCAGAUUAUAUAAAGGAAUAGACAUCUGUCUUUGACCGCAAAUGAUUCAACAGGACAGUGUUUGGAGUCUGAAGCUAAGUAAUUACAUCUAACCAAUCAAUCGUCCUUUACAGGGCAUGUACGAUGUCCAUCUAUUUCUUUUAAUGUCCAAUAGAGCUACGAGUUCUGAUUUAAUGAAAAAAAAUUUUGAAUAUUGAUAUGUUAGAACUAUUUUCUGUAAUAAACUAACUUGGUUCAAAAGCCAUUAAGUUAAUGCAUGUCCUCCAAAGUUGUCUUGAGCCCAGUAAAUAGUUAAUCUCUAGCACUAACAAAAAGGGACCCACUUUCUGUGAAGUAAUUCUCAAAGUGUUCCAGCAAAAAGAAUUCAAAUCUUGGAGGGAACAAUUGU